GACAGAGGAUGCAAGCGUUAUCCGGAAUGAUUGGGCGUAAAGCGUAUGUAGGUGGCUUUUUAAGUCUGCCGUCAAAUCCCAGGGCUUAACCCUGGACAGGCGGUGGAAACUAUCAAGCUGGAGUACGGUAGGGGCAGGGGGAAUUUCCGGUGGAGCGGUGAAAUGCGUAGAGAUCGGAAAGAACACCAACGGCGAAGGCACUUUGCUGGACCGACACUGACACUGAGAGACGAGAGCUAGGGGAGCGAAUGGG
rnacentral:rRNA from 1 species